CCUACGGGAGGCUGCAGUGGGGAAUCUUCCGCAAUGGACGAAAGUCUGACGGAGCAACGCCGCGUGAGUGAAGAAGGUUUUCGGAUCGUAAAGCUCUGUCUUCAAGGACGAAUGUAGAUAUUGUGAAUAAUGAUAUUUAAUGACGGUACUUGAGGAGGAAGCCACGGCUAACUACGUGCCAGCAGCCGCGGUAAUACGUAGGUGGCAAGCGUUGUCCGGAAUUAUUGGGCGUAAAGGGAGCGCAGGUGGGAAUAUCAGUCUGUCUUAAAAGUUCGGGGCUCAACCCCGUGAUGGGAUGGAAACUAUAUUUCUUGAGUGCAGGAGAGGAAAGUGGAAUUCCUAGUGUAGCGGUGAAAUGCGUAGAUAUUAGGAGGGACACCAGUGGCGAAGGCGACUUUCUGGACUGUAACUGACACUGAGGCUCGAAAGCCAGGGUAGUGAACGGGAUUAGAUACCCGGGUAGUC
rnacentral:rRNA from 1 species